CUGAUUAUAGAUGGCUAAUAUUGCCCUUUCCCGUGUUAAAAAAUAAAACUACAUGGACCAACAAACAGCUUGGGGAGAUAUGUAUUCUCGUCUGUUUUGAGUUCUGUUUAUUCUAGCUAUUCCCAAGACCAUUAAUAUCCACUUGAACCUGUAAACUUGAAGGUCAACAAAAGGUGAAACAUAAGGAAGCAAUAUAAUAUGGAAUAUUCAACUAGAUUAUAUAUUGUGAAAUGUUAAGGCAGUUUCCUUAAACUAGACUUUUUAAUUUUUUUUCCUUAGUAGUAGAAAAGAUAGGAAGAUAAACUCCAUAUUAAGCCAGAGUUCAAUUUGGAGGAUUUACAGAAUGACUAGAAAUUCCUUUUAGUUAGCAAUUUUAAAAUUAACUAACUCUGCCUUUCUAGAAAAUGCUAUGCAAUCAGAAUGAAAUGAGUAGAAAAAUAGUUAUCAAACAGUCCAGAGAUUGAAAAAAAAUACACGCCCAAAACAGUAAUAUUGUAUAAAUAUCUUACCACUGUCACAAGCAACACCAACCCUCUAACCUAGGUCUGCACUGAUUGUUGUUAAGCUACAGCAGGGACAGGUUGUGUUAAAUGUAGAAGCUUGUGACCAGCAGCACUGAGAAUGCACAAAAGCCUUACAAAUACACCACCUCUCAAGAUCAAGAGGGAUCUGUUCGUGGACUAAACAUCAUGGAAAAUCUCUGCCAUUCCUGGACUACCUUUCCUCUCAUAGCUAUCCUUCUGCAAAUGACACAUGCCAACACUAAUAAAACUAUACAUGCAGAUAAACCAGAUCAUCUUUCUGAUGUUUGUGACAUCAGAAGAAAAUACACAUAUAAAUUGUCAUGCCUUACAUGUGCUGUGGCAUCCAAAUGCAGUACAACAAAUCUGCAAAAUAAACUGACUAAAUAGAAGAAGCUGAUACUGCAUGGAAAAAUUGCUUGGAUCAGGACUCUUCAUCUUCCCAAACUACCCUGUGAAAAGGAGAACCAGUGCUUAAUUCCAUAAAGCCCUGUUGCCUGCAAAUUACAAAAUUCCUGGAUUUAGGUUACUGACCAGUACUCCAAAGCUCCCUUCGGAAAAUUCUGAUUUAAAUAUAACAUUGUCACACACACACACUGGAAGUCAUGGAAGCAAGCUGACUUAGCCUUCCAACUUCAUGUGGCAGCUGAUACUGUUACAAGAUAAUUUCUGCAUCAGCUAUCAGAUAUUUUGGUAAAAAGAAAAUUCCUCUAAACAAGUAAGGCUGCUCCAGUGAACUGUUGGAAGAAGCAACAGUACCAGCAUGAAAUGGCUGGUGAAGGAGUAGGUUCAACCUAAAUAAAUUUCUGAAGCCAGCUCUACACACAUUCUACAAAACCAACUGCCACUGGUGUUUCACACCACUACAUGACUACGGUGCAAAUUGCAAUGUUUUUUGUCUUCAUGCCUGUUCUGGAAGAUGUUACCCUGAGGGAAGUCUUGAGGACACAAAGGCAUGUUUGAGAAGGUAAAGAGUGUAGGAAAAGGAACCCAAGCAAAGCUGUCGCUGCUCGCCAGGCUGAAGCAUGAGUGGAAGGGAAGCAUUAGUCACGCCAACAGCCUGAAACAGAAGCCAUGCCUGGCAAUUGUAUCAACAAGAAACAGAUCAUCAUCCUCGCCUGAAGUCCUUUUAUGACAGUUACUUAUCAACUUCAGAACCUCGGAAGUCUAUAAUCUUGCAUGAUUAUUACCCUGCAACCAAAUGCCUCUGAAUGUCUUAAAAUAUAUGAAUUUCAGUGCGUCUCUUUCAAAAGUUGGAUUACCUCAGAAACUUUACUGAAAGUCUAUCAAGAAAGGAGGGAUUUUAUUAAUCUUUUUUUAAGGCUCAUUAUUUUUGAUCUACAGCAAGUGUGCUUAAAAAACACAAGGUUGGAUCAUUUCAACCCUAUUUGCUGACAGCCAAAGCAGAGGGAGCUAGCAUUUUACUUUGAGGGUAAUGGAGAACAAACAAGACACAUCUCAGGAAAGUAGGGCUGGUUUUGACAGAUGCCAACUGACCUUUAGGUCUUAGUAAUCCUUAAAGUAUUAAAUCCCACUAAGCUUCAUCUUGUAUACAGACAUGAUUUUGAACAUGUUCUGUGCAAAGGAAAAAGCAGAUUAACGAUCCACUAGACAAAGUGUCCUAGCUCUAAGAUGUCGUCAGAACACCUCAAAACAGUUUAACUCUACCCUGCCUCUAACCUCUAGCUAUUCCUUUAAAAAAUUAUGUUAUUUAAAAAUACAUAAUACAUAUUGUUAGAAUUUUUAUCUAUUAACCAGCUGGUAAGGUUCUCUCCCUUCUGCAAUAGCUUCACAGCACUCAUCUCUGCAGAAUAGCCUUUAUUACAGGCAACACAACAUUUAGCUACUCUAAAACUUUUCCAUUAUUAAGUAGUACUAAAGGGGAUCUUAAACAAUUAUGGUGACACUGAGGCACUGUGGACAACAGUGCAUCAUACUUGAAAUUGGAAAAACAAGUUUCAGUUCCAACCAAAUAUAUGGUACUGUUGUCACUUCUUGACAGGUAUUCAGGGUUCUCUGUAUUGACUCAAUGUGGGACCAGGUCUAGGAGUGCUCCUUCCUAUUCUUCUCUUGCACCCCCAUCCCUACAGUCAUAAUGUUGGUGGAGGGUUAAAAAAUAUAAUUUCUGGAUUGAGUAAUGUGUAGGGGGAGGAAAGUAGAGAACGUACAACUGGAACUUGACGCAGCUAGCUGGGAACAAGCGUCAGCUUCGGCAAACAGCUCCAUAAUGACCGAAUCAAGUGUGACUGCAACUCAGGGGAUAAUUGAAAAGCAUUGUUUUAACCAAAUCAAGUGUAGAUCAGGGUAGAAGCGUAGGUAUGAUUUAAGAUAGUAACUAAAGAAUAGGAUAAUCAGUAUCUAGGGGUGGGGGUUAGUUAACAUGUGUAUAAUUUAAACUAUAAAAAUCACGAAUCGACUCUGUAUCCUUUGGACAUCAGAUUUGGGUGUAUUAUCACCCCUGUGUCCUGCGCGCUUGAAUAAAGAACCGCAUAUGAUUGCCUUUGUGUGGUUAUAUGUUUUCCAACGCUAACAUUUUUGGCGACCCAGAUGAGACCUUGUGGGCGCAGCCAGGACCCCGCGACCCGAUCACGCUCCAGCCGGCACCGGGUGAUUUCUCGGGGAGCCCAUCGGAGCCGCGACCCUCGCCGCUCACAACGACCCCUGGUGAGAGCUCGGCUCCGAAGUGUUCUCGUGUAGAACAGACCACUGGCCCUGGAGAAUCCAGUCCACAAUAUCGAACCAGGAGAUGAGGUAUACAUCAAAACCUGGAACGAAGAACCACUAAAAGAGAAGUGGACUGGUCCCCAUCAGUAAUUUGGUUAGUUUACAGAAUCCUGAAGAGAGAGAUACAGAAAAAGGCAUCUUAGAACAGGACCAUAAUGAAGGCAUUGGCACGGAACCCAGCACCUUCAAUCCGCAACAACAUCCCGGACAAAGCCUAUGACAACAGAGGAUUUGAGGAUGAACAUCCAGUAUGAACUCUGAAGCCUAAUAGACUGUAUUAAGUGAAAGCAUUUACACUUAGUAUAUUAGAGUGAAAAUACUUUCAAAGGGGAGAAUGUUGGUGGAGGGUUAAAAAAUAUAAUUUCUGGAUUGAGUAAUGUGUAGGGGGAGGAAAGUAGAGAACGUACAACUGGAACUUGACGCAGCUAGCUGGGAACAAGCGUCAGCUUCGGCAAACAGCUCCAUAAUGACCGAAUCAAGUGUGACUGCAACUCAGGGGAUAAUUGAAAAGCAUUGUUUUAACCAAAUCAAGUGUAGAUCAGGGUAGAAGCGUAGGUAUGAUUUAAGAUAGUAACUAAAGAAUAGGAUAAUCAGUAUCUAGGGGUGGGGGUUAGUUAACAUGUGUAUAAUUUAAACUAUAAAAAUCACGAAUCGACUCUGUAUCCUUUGGACAUCAGAUUUGGGUGUAUUAUCACCCCUGUGUCCUGCGCGCUUGAAUAAAGAACCGCAUAUGAUCGCCUUUGUGUGGUUAUAUGUUUUCCAACGCUAACAAUAAUACAGUCCUUGGAAGUCUUCAGAGAUUUCUCA